UACGUAGGGUGCAAGCGUUGUCCGGAAUUAUUGGGCGUAAAGAGCUCGUAGGCGGUCUGUCGCGUCGGCUGUGAAACCCCGGGGCUCAACCCCGGGCCUGCAGUCGAUACGGGCAGACUAGAGUUCGGUAGGGGAGACUGGAAUUCCUGGUGUAGCGGUGAAAUGCGCAGAUAUCAGGAGGAACACCGGUGGCGAAGGCGGGUCUCUGGGCCGUAACUGACGCUGAGGAGCGAAAGCGUGGGGAGCGAACAGG
rnacentral:rRNA from 1 species